rnacentral:rRNA from 1 species
AAGUGGGAGUACUCCUUCUAAGCUAAAUAUCACCACGAGACCGAUAGCGAACAAGUACCGUGAGGGAAAGUUGAAAAGCACUCUGAAUAGAGAGUCAAAAAGUACGUGAAACUGCCUAGGGCUCAAGCCCGUUGAACUCGAUUAUCCGCAGCGGAGAUAUUCACCUGUGGCCGGGCGGGGGGUCCCCUCCCCGUCAGCCACAGGGCACUUGUCUCCUGCUUCACGAGGACAUUGCGAUCCAUUACGAAACGCAGUCACUGCCCCGCAGUGACUAUGAGGCCCGGCCACUGCCCCUUGGCACCUUGGUUGCUUGUCCCACAGUAGCGGCGCUCAGUUCGGAAGGCCUGCGCCGCAACCUGGGGCUUACCGGUGCGUGGUGUGCAGCCGGGCGCGUGAUGGAUUCCAGCGUACACCGUCGCGUGACUACUACGUCACCCCUCCACCAUGGCGGACGGACUGUCGAUCGGCAAUGAACAAAUCGAGGGUACCUUCGGGACCCGUCUUGAAACACGGACAGAAAUUUCACA